AUGAUCCUGUGGCUGUAUUUCUUUUCCUUACUAGCAGUUCUCAGAGGUGUCCUGUCAGAGGCCCAGCUGGUGGAGUCCGGAGGGGACGUGAGGAGGCCUGGAGAGUCCCUCCGUCUCUCCUGCCAAGGCUCUGGAUUUGACUUCGGCAGCUACGGCAUGCACUGGGUGAGACAGGCCCCUGGAAAAGGGCUGGAAUGGGUUGCAGCGAUUGGUUCAUCUGACACUUACUACUCGGACAAAGUGAAGGGACGCUUCACCAUCUCCAGGGACAACUCCAAAAGCCAAGUCUAUCUGCAAAUGAACAGCCUUAAACUGGAGGACUCGGCAGUCUAUUACUGUGCGGAUGAGGAUGAUGAUGAACAUGAUGAGUAUGAAGAUGAUUGUUCUGAUGUUCCUCAGACCAGCCUUCAUCUUGAAGCUACGUGUGCAACGUCUAUUGAAAGAAGUGUCAAGGUCAAAAGAGUGCCCUAUCAGAGAUCCAGCUGGUGGAGUCCGGAGGGGACGUGA